GGUUAAGCGACUAAGCGUACACGGUGGAUGCCCUGGCAGUCAGAGGCGAUGAAGGACGUGCUAAUCUGCGAAAAGCGCCGGCGAGGUGAUAUGAACCUUUGACCCGGCGAUGUCCGAAUGGGGAAACCCAGUGUGAUUCGUCACACUAUCGUUAACUGAAUACAUAGGUUAACGAGGCGAACCGGGGGAACUGAAACAUCUAAGUACCCCGAGGAAAAGAAAUCAACCGAGAUUCCCCCAGUAGCGGCGAGCGAACGGGGAGCAGCCCAGAGUCUGAAUCAGCUUGUGUGUUAGUGGAAGCGUCUGGAAAGUCGCACGGUACAGGGUGACAGUCCCGUACACGAAAGCACACAGGUUGUGAACUCGAAGAGUAGGGCGGGACACGUGGUAUCCUGUCUGAAUAUGGGGGGACCAUCCUCCAAGGCUAAAUACUCCUGACUGACCGAUAGUGAACCAGUACCGUGAGGGAAAGGCGAAAAGAACCCCGGCGAGGGGAGUGAAAAAGAACCUGAAACCGUGUACGUACAAGCAGUGGGAGCACCUUCGUGGUGUGACUGCGUACCUUUUGUAUAAUGGGUCAGCGACUUAUAUUCUGUAGCAAGGUUAACCGUAUAGGGGAGCCGAAGGGAAACCGAGUCUUAACUGGGCGUUAAGUUGCAGGGUAUAGACCCGAAACCCGGUGAUCUAGCCAUGGGCAGGUUGAAGGUUGGGUAACACUAACUGGAGGACCGAACCGACUAAUGUUGAAAAAUUAGCGGAUGACUUGUGGCUGGGGGUGAAAGGCCAAUCAAACCGGGAGAUAGCUGGUUCUCCCCGAAAGCUAUUUAGGUAGCGCCUCGUGAACUCAUCUUCGGGGGUAGAGCACUGUUUCGGCUAGGGGGCCAUCCCGGCUUACCAACCCGAUGCAAACUACGAAUACCGAAGAAUGUUAUCACGGGAGACACACGGCGGGUGCUAACGUCCGUCGUGAAGAGGGAAACAACCCAGACCGCCAGCUAAGGUCCCAAAGUCAUGGUUAAGUGGGAAACGAUGUGGGAAGGCACAGACAGCCAGGAUGUUGGCUUAGAAGCAGCCAUCAUUUAAAGAAAGCGUAAUAGCUCACUGGUCGAGUCGGCCUGCGCGGAAGAUGUAACGGGGCUAAACCAUGCACCGAAGCUGCGGCAGCGACGCUUAUGCGUUGUUGGGUAGGGGAGCGUUCUGUAAGCCGUUGAAGGUGUGCUGUGAGGCAUGCUGGAGGUAUCAGAAGUGCGAAUGCUGACAUAAGUAACGAUAAAGCGGGUGAAAAGCCCGCUCGCCGGAAGACCAAGGGUUCCUGUCCAACGUUAAUCGGGGCAGGGUGAGUCGACCCCUAAGGCGAGGCCGAAAGGCGUAGUCGAUGGGAAACAGGUUAAUAUUCCUGUACUUGGUGUUACUGCGAAGGGGGGACGGAGAAGGCUAUGUUAGCCGGGCGACGGUUGUCCCGGUUUAAGCAUGUAGGCGGAACGAUUAGGUAAAUCCGGUCGUUUUUUAACGCUGAGGUGUGAUGACGAAGCACUACGGUGCUGAAGUAACAAAUGCCCUGCUUCCAGGAAAAGCCUCUAAGCAUCAGGUAACAUCAAAUCGUACCCCAAACCGACACAGGUGGUCAGGUAGAGAAUACCAAGGCGCUUGAGAGAACUCGGGUGAAGGAACUAGGCAAAAUGGUGCCGUAACUUCGGGAGAAGGCACGCUGAUAUGUAGGUGAAGCCCCUGCGGGUGGAGCUGAAAUCAGUCGAAGAUACCAGCUGGCUGCAACUGUUUAUUAAAAACACAGCACUGUGCAAACACGAAAGUGGACGUAUACGGUGUGACGCCUGCCCGGUGCCGGAAGGUUAAUUGAUGGGGUUAGCGGCAACGCGAAGCUCUUGAUCGAAGCCCCGGUAAACGGCGGCCGUAACUAUAACGGUCCUAAGGUAGCGAAAUUCCUUGUCGGGUAAGUUCCGACCUGCACGAAUGGCGUAAUGAUGGCCAGGCUGUCUCCACCCGAGACUCAGUGAAAUUGAACUCGCUGUGAAGAUGCAGUGUACCCGCGGCAAGACGGAAAGACCCCGUGAACCUUUACUAUAGCUUGACACUGAACACUGGUCCUUGAUGUGUAGGAUAGGUGGGAGGCUUUGAAGCGUGGACGCCAGUCUGCGUGGAGCCGUCCUUGAAAUACCACCCUUUAAUGGCUGGUGUUCUAACGUAGACCCGUGAUCCGGGUUGCGGACAGUGUCUGGUGGGUAGUUUGACUGGGGCGGUCUCCUCCCAAAGAGUAACGGAGGAGCACGAAGGUUAGCUAAUCCUGGUCGGACAUCAGGAGGUUAGUGCAAUGGCAUAAGCUAGCUUGACUGCGAGAGUGACGGCUCGAGCAGGUGCGAAAGCAGGUCAUAGUGAUCCGGUGGUUCUGAAUGGAAGGGCCAUCGCUCAACGGAUAAAAGGUACUCCGGGGAUAACAGGCUGAUACCGCCCAAGAGUUCAUAUCGACGGCGGUGUUUGGCACCUCGAUGUCGGCUCAUCACAUCCUGGGGCUGAAGUAGGUCCCAAGGGUAUGGCUGUUCGCCAUUUAAAGUGGUACGCGAGCUGGGUUUAGAACGUCGUGAGACAGUUCGGUCCCUAUCUGCCGUGGGCGCUGGAGAAUUGAGGGGGGCUGCUCCUAGUACGAGAGGACCGGAGUGGACGCAUCACUGGUGUUCGGGUUGUCAUGCCAAUGGCACUGCCCGGUAGCUAAAUGCGGAAAAGAUAAGUGCUGAAAGCAUCUAAGCACGAAACUUGCCCCGAGAUGAGUUCUCCCUGAGACUUUAAGUCUCCUGAAGGAACGUUGAAGACGACGACGUUGAUAGGUCGGGUGUGUAAGCGCAGCGAUGCGUUGAGCUAACCGAUACUAAUGAACCGUGAGGCUUAACCUU
rnacentral:rRNA from 1 species